UACGUAGGGGGCAAGCGUUGUCCGGAUUUAUUGGGCGUAAAGAGCGUGUAGGCGGCCAGAUAGGUCCGUUGUGAAAACUGGAGGCUUAACCUCCAGCUGUCGAUGGAAACCAUCUGGCUAGAGUCCGGAAGAGGAGAGUGGAAUUCCUGGUGUAGCGGUGAAAUGCGCAGAUAUCAGGAAGAACACCCGUGGCGAAGGCGGCCCUCUGGGACGGUACUGACGCUGAGACGCGAAAGCGUGGGGAGCGAACAGG
rnacentral:rRNA from 1 species